ensembl:lncRNA novel transcript
CUAUACUAUCUCAUGCACCCAGGCACAACUUUUCCAGAUUUAAAGAAAAAGAAAAAAGAAAUAAAAGAAAAAAACCUCUGUCUCUACACCUCCAUUCCCAGGGAGAGCUCCCUCUCUGGCACCAAGCUCCCUGGGGUGAGUUUUCUUUUUGAAGAGUCCAGGGGAACAGCCUGCGACGGGUCCUUCUUCCUGGACACUCACGACGCGGACCCAGUUCUCACUCCCACUGAGUGUCGGGUUUCUAGGGAAGCCAAUCAGCGUCGCGCGGCCCCGGUUCUAAAGUCCCCACGCACCCACCGGGACUCGGAGUCUCCCCAGACGCCGACGAUGGGGUCAUGGCGCCCCGAACCCUCCUCCUGCUGCUCUCGGGGACCCUGGCCCUGGCCGAGACCUGGGCGGGCUCCCACUCCAUGAGGUAUUUCAGCACCGCCGUUUCCUGGCCGGGCCGCGGGGAGCCCAGCUUCAUUGCCGUGGGCUACGUGGACGACACGCAGUUCGUGCGGGUCGACAGUGACGCCGUGAGUCUGAGGAUGAAGACGCGGGCGCGGUGGGUGGAGCAGGAGGGGCCGGAGUAUUGGGACCUACAGACACUGGGCGCCAAGGCCCAGGCACAGACUGACCGAGUGAACCUGCGGACCCUGCUCCGCUACUACAACCAGAGCGAGGCGGACCCCCCCCAAGACACACGUGACCCACCCCCCUCUCUGAACAUGAGGCAUAACGAGGUCCUGGGUUCUGGGCUUCUACCCUGCGGAGAUCACAUUGACCUGGCAGCGGGAUGGGGAGGACCAGACCCAGGACAUGGAGCUCGUGGAGACCAGGCCCACAGGGGAUGGAACCUUCCAGAAGUGGGCGGUUGUGGUAGUGCCUUCUGGAGAGGAACAGAGAUACACAUGCCAUGUGCAGCACAAGGGGCUGCCCAAGCCCCUCAUCCUGAGAUGGGAGCCCUCUCCCCAGCCCACCAUCCCCAUUGUGGGUAUCAUUGCUGGCCUGGUUCUCCUUGGAGCUGUGGUCACUGGAGCUGUGGUCACUGCUGUGAUGUGGAGGAAGAAGAGCUCAGUCACACAUUUCUGGAAACUUCUCAAGGUUCCAAGACUAGGAGGUUCCUCUAGGACCUCAUGGCCCUGCUACCUUCCUGGCCUCUCACAGGACGUUUUCUUCCCGCAGAUAGAAAAGGAGGGAGCUACUCUCAGGCUGCAAUGUGAGACAGCUGCCUUGUGUGGGACUGAGAGGCAAGAUUUGUUCAUGCCUUCCCUUUGUGACUUCAAGAACCCUGACUUCUCUUUCUGCAAAGGCAUCUGAAUGUGUCUGUGUCCCUAUAGGCAUAAUGUGAGGUGGUGGGGAGACCAGCCCACACCCGUGUCCACCAUGACCCUGUUCCCCACACUGACCUACAUUCCUUCCCCGAUCACCUUUCCUGUUCCAGAGAAGUGGUGCUGGGAUGUCUCCAUCUCUGUCUCAACUUCAUGGUGCACUGAGCUGUAACUUCUUACUUCCCUAUUAAAAUUAGAAUCUGAGUAUAAAUUUACUUUUUUCAAAUUAUUUCCAUGACGGGUUGAUGGGUUAAUUAAAGGAGAAGAUUCCUAAAAUUUGAGAGACAAAAUAAAUGGAAGACAUGAGAA